AUGGUCAACAUUCAAAUCCCUUAUGAUUAUACAGUGGAAGUGAGAAAUAGAUUUAAGGGCCUAGAUCUGAUAGAUAGAGUGCCUGAUGAACUAUGGACUGAGGUUCAUGACAUUGUACAGGAGACAGGGAUCAAGACCAUCCCCAUGGAAAAAAAAUUCAAAAAAGCGAAAUGGCUGUCUGGGAAGGCCUUACAAAUAGCUGUGAAAAAAAGAGAAGUGAAAAGAAAAGGAGAAAAUGAAAGAGAUAAGCAUCUGAAUGCAGAGUUCCAAAGAAUAGCAAGAAGAGAUAAGAAAGCCUUCCUCAGUGAUCAAUGCAAAGAAAUAGAGGAAAACAACAAAAUAGGAAAGACUAGAGACCUCUUCAAGAAAAUCAGAGAUACCAAGGGAACAUUUCAUGCAAAGAUCAGCUCGAUAAAGGACAGAAAUGGUAUGGACCUAACAGAAGCAGAAGAUAUUAAGAAGAAGUGGCAAGAAUACACAGAACUGUACAAAAAAGAUCUUCACAACCAAGAUAAUCAUGAUGGUGUGAUCACUGACCUAGAGCCAGACAUCCUGGAAUUUGAAGUCAAGUGGGCCUUAGAAAGCAUCACUACAAACAAAGCUAGUGGAGGUGAUGGAAUUCCAGUUGAGCUAUUUCAAAUCCUGAAAGAUGAUGCUGUGAAAGUGCUGCACUCAAUAUGCCAGCAAAUUUGGAAAACUCAGCAGUGGCCACAGGACUGGAAAAGGUCAGUUUUCAUUCCAAUCCCAAAGAAAGGCAAUGCUAAAGAAUGCUCAAACUACCACACAAUUGCACUCAUCUCACACGCUAGUAAAGUAAUGCUCAAAAUUCUCCAAGCCAGGCUUCAGCAAUACGUGAACCAGGAACUUCAGAUGUUCAAGCUGGUUUUAGAAAAGGCAGAGGAACCAGAGAUCAAAUUGCCAACAUCCGCUGGAUCAUCGAAAGAACAAGAGAGUUCCACAAAAACAUCUAUUUCUGCUUUAUUGACUAUGCCAAAGCCUUUGACUGUAUGGAUCACAAUAAACUGUGGAAAAUUCUGA
rnacentral:lncRNA from 1 species